rnacentral:tRNA from 1 species
GAUUGGGGAUGUAGCUCAAAUGGUAGAGCGCCCGCUUUGCAUGCGGGAGGUACAGGGUUCGAUACCCUGCAUCUCCAAAGUUAC